UCCCUGGUGGCUCAGUGGUAAAGAAUCUGCCUGCCAAUGCAGAAGACACAGAUUCUAUCUCUGAUCCAGGAAG
rnacentral:tRNA from 1 species